GGAUGUAAUCUUGCUGUGACAUCUGUCACUCGGCAGUUGAUCUGAAUGGCUAGGCAGAUGUCCUCUCUAUCAUGCUCACUCUAUGUGCAUCCAUCUCUCCAAGAGCUUAGUGCUUCAUUAAAAAGGAUAACGUUCUGUGAUCAGAUAAACUUUUGGAUCAUCUGGUAUACCCUAGUAGCUGUGCUCCGUACCUGAACCUUCAAAUUCUCAGGGUCCAAGUGCUGAGAUUUUAGGAGGAUGCUUCUACUGCAUGAAGCAGGACUUAGUA
ensembl:misc_RNA predicted gene, 25341